AGAUUGAACAUAAGAGUUUGAUCCUGGCUCAGAUUGAACGCUGGCGGCAUGCUUUACACAUGCAAGUCGGACGGCAGCACAGAGAAGCUUGCUUCUUGGGUGGCGAGUGGCGAACGGGUGAGUAACAUAUCGGAACGUACCGAGCAGUGGGGGAUAACUAAUCGAAAGAUUAGCUAAUACCGCAU
rnacentral:rRNA from 1 species